rnacentral:sRNA from 1 species
ACGCCGGGGCGGCCCGAAGAUGGCGGCGGUGGCUGGAUCUGGGGCAGCCGCGGCUCCGAGCUCACUGCUCCUCGUGGUGGGCAGCGAGUUCGGGAGCCCGGGGCUCCUCACCUACGUCCUGGAGGAGCUCGAAAGAGGCAUCCGGUCUUGGGAUGUCGAUCCUGGCGUCUGCAACCUUGAUGAACAGCUCAAGGUCUUUGUGUCCCGACACUCUGCCACCUUCUCCAGCAUUGUGAAAGGCCAGCGGAGCCUGCACCACCGUGGAGACAACCUGGAGACCCUGGUCCUCCUGAACCCAUCAGACAAGUCCCUGUGUGAUGAGUGUUCACCCCCUCCCUCAGCUCCGGAACCUUCUGUUGGACCCUGCCUCUCACAAGCUACUGGUGUUGGCUGGGCCCUGCCUGGAGGAGACGGGGGAGCUGCUGCUACAGACAGGGGGCUUCUCGCCUCACCACUUCCUCCAGGUCCUGAAGGACAGAGAGAUCCGGGACAUCCUGGCCACCACGCCCCCACCUGUGCAGCCGCCCAUACUCACCAUCACCUGCCCCACCUUCGGUGACUGGGCUCAGCUGGCACCCGCUGUGCCCGGCCUUCAGGG